AGUGUUUCGAUCAAAUGAGGAUUAAACGGGAAUUCAGUGUGGUAAACGAUUCGUUGAUACGAACCGUUUCUUACCAAAUCUGAAGCUGCCCCCGCAACGGUAAUCGAGUUAAGUGUACUUUUGUUGCCACUGUACCUCAGGGUACGGGAAGGCUAGUGCAUAGAAGAUUUUUUCGCUCGUGAGCCCGGAGACCGGCCUCGCUAC
rnacentral:ncRNA from 1 species